rnacentral:rRNA from 1 species
GUCGAGCGCGCCUUUCGGGGUGAGCGGCGGACGGGUUAGUAACGCGUGGGAAUAUACCCUUUGGUACGGAAUAGCCUCUGGAAACGGAGAGUAAUACCGUAUGAGCCCUUCGGGGGAAAGAUUUAUCGCCAAAGGAUUAGCCCGCGUUAGAUUAGGUAGUUGGUGGGGUAAUGGCCUACCAAGCCUACGAUCUAUAGCUGGUUUUAGAGGAUGAUCAGCAACACUGGGACUGAGACACGGCCCAGACUCCUACGGGAGGCAGCAGUGGGGAAUCUUGGACAAUGGGGGCAACCCUGAUCCAGCCAUGCCGCGUGAGUGAUGAAGGCCUUAGGGUCGUAAAGCUCUUUCGCCUGUGAAGAUAAUGACGGUAGCAGGUAAAGAAACCCCGGCUAACUCCGUGCCAGCAGCCGCGGUAAUACGGAGGGGGUUAGCGUUGUUCGGAAUUACUGGGCGUAAAGCGCACGUAGGCGGAUCGGAAAGUUGGGGGUGAAAUCCCGGGGCUCAACCCCGGAACUGCCUCCAAAACUAUCGGUCUAGAGUUCGAGAGAGGUGAGUGGAAUUCCGAGUGUAGAGGUGAAAUUCGUAGAUAUUCGGAGGAACACCAGUGGCGAAAGCGGCUCACUGGCUCGAUACUGACGCUGAGGUGCGAAAGUGUGGGGAGCAAACAGGAUUAGAUACCCUGGUAGUCCACACCGUAAACGAUGAAUGCCAGUCGUCGGGUAGCAUGCUAUUC